GGCUCCGCCGUUGCCUUCCCCUUCCCUUCCCUACUAGACCUGCCACGGAACAGAACACGCGCGCGCUUCCAUUCCCAAGCCCCCGCCGAAGCGGAGCACACGCCACCGGCCACCAAGGGACCCUUCCCGAGCAGGCUAGCGCCCUUCCUUGGCUCCUUGCCGUCCUCCACCUCCUCUCCUCCAGGGGACCGCCGCGUAGCUGGGAUCCGCCCCGGCACAGCCCGACUUCUCCGCUCGCUGCCUUCAAUUGAUGGCCUCACCUUCAGCACCGACCGAGCUAAGUCGGGAAGCUGCUCGUCAGUCUCUGAUCGCAAUCUCCCAGUCUGUUCCAGAGACACCUUCACCCCAGACGGUGAAGACACCGAUCUCCAUUGCAGAGAACGGGAAGCUGGACGAUGGGGCUGACAAGUACAGAUCAAAACUGAUGUCCAUCACAGACCUGUCUUCUGAUGCCCAACCUACGCUGUGCCCUCCUAAGGAUGUUACCGCUUAACCGUGUGAUGGUCGCUGAUUGAUGUGGAUGUGCGGACAUGAUGCAUCAGUUCUUAUGCUGAUGCUUUGAACAUUUCACUGUCUUGCAUUGAACUGAGCUUAUGUUACUAGCCCUUUUUCUUGGCAGUUGGUGCCUGUUUUAUGAUACAUUAACGGAAACAGGUGGAAACAUACUGUACAGUUUCCUGACUGAUGAUAAGGAACAAUUUAAUCUGAACAUGCUUGGAUUCUUUUCAAGGACAUUUUUGGACAGGUAGGAAUCUAGCCAAAUCAUGUCGGAUUGGCAUGCCAGUCUGAAGUGGCUUAGUCUAAUCCCCGUGUUUCAUUGCUAAAUAUGAUGCAACCCGUGAGGAUCUUUUCCCUUUUUUGCAUUCUCAAAUCUCAAUCAUGAAUUCUCAGAAAACGUUUUCUGCAAAAGAAAAAAAAUCUCAGUAAACGCAGCAGAGAGCUCAUUAGCUCAUCAGAGAAACAGAAACCAAGGCUUAACCAGAUUAUUACAGCGUUAUGUGCAAUUGAGCGAGUGAAGGGCUACUACACAUGUCGAUCGAACAGGCAGGCGGGCAAGACGCGUCUCAUUGGCAAUUCUGCCAAACGGGAGACCCGCCAUCCAUGUUCAACCGACCGCAACACGCGCGCGCGGCGCGUACGGCACGUGAGCGACAGGCGACUCGUCCUCGCCGGAGGCGAAGGCGGGCCGGGGCACCCGCGCGCGGAGCUCCGGAUCGCCUUCAUCCACCCCGAUCGCGGGGCUUCGGUAACGGGUGGUGCAGAGAUGCUGAUAGUUGACAUGGCAUGCCAGCUCACCGCCCAUGGACAUAAUGUCCAUGUUUUGGCAUCAAACCAUGGCAAAACUCGGUGCUUUAAGAAGUCUGUCUUGUAAGGUUCUAAGCUCUAGCAAACGUGUAUAUUCUUAUUACUCUUCUGAGUACAUUAUCUGCAGUCCAUUCUGCUGUACCAAAUGUCAACCCCCCUUCAAAUAGAUUUGCAAGAAGUAACAACCUUGACCAUUAAACUUAUUGUAGUGGCUUAGAUUAGUUUCUAAAUGCCAUCAAUAUCUGUCUGGAGAUCUCCUAAUUAUUCCAUCUAUAUUCCCUAAAAAAUAUUAUUCCAUCUAUACACUUUUAUCCUUCCAACUUCUAGUGACAAUGGUCAAUCAAUACACUGUAGAGCUUGAUGCUUUAUAGUUUAUUCUCCUAUUUGUUAGUGGCUCUUACCACAUAAGUUCCCACUUUGCAUUGCCUAUGCUCUGUUGAUCUUUCUCUUGAUGCACUCGUAUGACCUGUUGUUAAGAAGUGUAAUUUCCACACAAUUUCUUUUACAUUUCCAUUUUGUACAUAAAAAAUCCGAAUCUUCUGGCAGUCUAUUUUGCAGAUUCUUAGAUAGUUUCAGGUAAACCGAUGCAUAAACAUUACACAAUUAUGACUGCUAUUACUGUAUUUUUGUUAUCUCUAAUGAACCUACGAUGAAGUCAUUCUUAAGCCUCUUGACUUUCUGUCUUCUCUAAUAAAUGUCCAGGUCAUUUUCCAGUUACUGUUUCUGGUGAUUGCUUACUUCACCAUCUUUUUUUUUUACCUUUGUCAUGCUGUCCAUGUAUAUCUCCGAUGUAUAAUUGCGGUAUGUGUGCUACUUUGCUUUCCUUCAUUUGACACCAUAUUAGUGGACCAGGAUUACACAAUGAUUCCACUGCUUAAACUAAAGGCCUAUCCCGUUGCACUAACAUAUAUUUUCAAAAAUAAAUCCCCUUGAUUUAACUUCAGGUGCCCAAUAGAUAUACCUUUGUGUAUCUUUUCAGAUUGUAUAUUAUUUGCAUUUCCCUGACGUGUUGCUUGCAAAGCACACUACUAUUCUUCUGAAGUUAUCGCAAGCCCAUUGGUAAGAUUGAAGCCACGACUGAUCUUGUCUUAUGUCACUCUAUUGCAAUUCGUUUCAUUCCUCGUUCAUAAUCUAGACUGUUGUGACACAUGCUAAAGGUGUCCAUUUUUGUUUUGAAAUCAAGGUACGGCGGAUUUAAUUCUAGUAAACAGCAAGUUCACUGCAUCUUCAUUUGCUAGGAGCCUAGGACCUAGAUGGGUGCAAAAUUCUCCACUACGAUAUUUGGUGAUUUGAAUAUAGAAGUUGAUAUUGACAGCUUUAUAUGGAAGAGUUUUCCAGGCUAGACAAUGUCUUCUCUAAUGUUAUUCUUCUACUUUGGACCUCUUGAUACUUAUAUAGUAAUACAAUGAACCUCACCUGGAACUUGGGCCCAGCUCUUGUCUUGCUGCAAAUCUGCAGUAGCCUUUACAUUUGUUGGUUCCUUAUGUUAA